GGGGAUGUAAAGGUUUCGACGGAUAUUCAGAAAUAUGAAUAGCGAGUGAUGGACUCCACUUGGCCAUCUAAAAAAUGUGGAAAUAAAAAUAAUUAACAACAAUAAAGUUGCUUUAGCUGCCUAGUUGCAGCUUCGUUUGUCCUUAUGUGCCACUUUCGUUAGGAACAAGCGUCAUCUAAAAGUGGGAACAAAGCUAUCAAAACUUUGAGAUAGCGGGUAUUUAUAAAGUUACCAAAAACAAAAGCCUGUUUGUUGGCGUGUGUUUGAGGGAAUGUAAAAAAACAAACUGCACUCGGAGAAGUUUGUAUGGAAGGAUUUUCGGACAGGAGUUCAAUUCUCCUCAUCUCCACCA
rnacentral:tmRNA from 1 species